rnacentral:rRNA from 1 species
UACGUAGGGGGCAAGCGUUGUCCGGAAUUAUUGGGCGUAAAGAGCGUGUAGGCGGCCAGAUAAGUCCGCUGUGAAAUCUCGAGGCUCAACUUCGAGCUGUCGGUGGAAACUAUCUGGCUAGAGUCCGGAAGAGGAGAAUGGAAUCCUGGUGUAGCGGUGAAAUGCGCAGAUAUCAGGAAGAACACCCGUGGCGAAGGCGGUUCUCUGGGACGGUACUGACGCUGAGACGCGAAAGCGUGGGGAGCGAACAGG